rnacentral:misc_RNA from 1 species
CGAACAUCCUUUGAGUUGUGCUUUCUGAGAGAAUUAACCGACUUUCCAAUCUCUGUGGCCUUUAAAGUCUCCACAGACAAAGCCAUUAGUUGAAGCCUUCUUAAGCACUCAAACAACUCUGCAGACUCAGCUUGGUUGUUAUCAAUGACAUCUUUGAUCCUCAUCACCUCCCCAAAAGUCUGAGUCUCUUCCUCCAUUUCCUCAGUUAAUGCCUCAGCUUCUCCAUAACUAUAAUUACUAACUUG